UGUUGCUGACAUAAAAACAUUGGAGAACGCGCUUAUUAUUUAAGCUUAAAAUUGCAUAUUUUACAAGAAUGGGUACAUGUUUUGGAAAGAGAACACCAAAGAGAAACGCUGUAUGUCCGUCUGCUGAGAACGGUAAUCCGUGUAAGAGGAAUUUACGGAAAGAACCAGAAGAUAUGAUACGUGACUUGGAGGAGGCAAAUGCCGAAGACUCUAAGUAAGAUUGGAAAUGCUGGCGUUUCCUUCACUGUUGACUUUACAGACGGGGAUCCGACAAGAAUGCCUUCCCGACUGGCAGACCGUCUAAACGGAGCUAUGACCCCAGCAGCCGAGGACCAUAACGAAGUAACUUACACACCUGAAGAAAGGGAGAUAAUGGCCGAGCUUUUGCGCAAUGAUAUAUUACGAGAGAGGAAGGAGAAGGCAGCUGGUCACUCCGUGGCAAAGUACUAAAAGGGUGGCAAAGUACUAAAAAGGAAUUCUUCGAAUAUUUGUGAAUGGAGUUUCAUCUUUACAACACUUGCCAAAGAAACUUCUGAAGAAGAUGAUUUUGUCUUUAACUUAUUAUUAUUACAUAUAUGUUUGAAUGAAUAGUCUACAAUAAAACUUGAAAUUGAAA